GGGUGGUUAGCUCAGCUGGUAGAGCAUCGCCCUUACAAGGCGAGGGUCACAGGUUCGAGCCCUGUACCACCCACCA
rnacentral:tRNA from 4 species